UGUAACGAUUAAAAGAGGACAUGCGGGGAACUGUUUACGAGCUCGUUGAAAUCUGACAUGUCGGGAGUAAUGAUGAGUGCCAUGUGUUGUGCAUAAUCAGUCUGCCGUUCCAAAAUUGUGUUUUAAAUGGGCAGCAGUCGUAGCAGAAAUGGAUACACUGUAGGGAAGACACGAUGGAAGCAUUUUGAACACGGAAGUACUUACAACCAUUGCAUGGGCUGGCUUUGGCUCGUAUGGGGGUUCUUGCGCAAUAUCGGGCCUCGAGUUUUCAUUUAGCUAUCAAUUAGUGCGAACCAUAGGCUUCCACAUAAGGGGGGUGGCGCAUUGCCCCCCCCCCCCAAUUGCAAGACCCUGUGCACGCCUAUGGCUGAAACAGUCUGCUACUUGUACCAGCGUACGUGUAUUCUUUUGUGCAUAUGAAUGGCAAAACGGAUUUUGAGCAUAUCUGCAGCGCUAUUUUGUAUUGCUCCCCAUUGCAGGUUUGCAACGCGGAACUUCGCAUUCUUGUUGUGGACCCCCGGUUCCCUGGUUCGUGCCACGACUCUUGGGUGUGGCAGCGUAACCCACUGCGUGCACGCCUAGCCGCACAACUGCAGCCUGGCGAGUAUCUGCUUGGAGACUCAGGAUAUCCUCUCGAGCCAUGGCUGCUUGUUCCAGUACCUGGCAGCCAUGCCGGCACCAGCUCUGAAGGCCACUACAACCAGGAGCACGCAUCCAUGCGCAAUGUUGUGGAGAGAUGCAUCGGGGUGUUGAAAAGCAAGUUCCGCUGCUUGCAGCGCUUUCGGACACUGCUGUACAGCCCCGAUAGAGCAGCGCGAAUCAUUUAUGCAUGCGUUGCUCUCCAUAACAUUGCCUUGGACGCGGGCGACUGGACAUUGGAGGAUUAUGGUGGGGAAGUGCCACCAGCUGAGGAGCCAGAGGAGCCAGGAGACAUCCAGGUGCUGGCACCACAAGACGUGUUCCUCAGAGGAAGGCAGCAGCGCAGCGCAGUUGUCAACCUUUUCUGAAGGACACAGGAAUGGUGCUCAGUGAUGUCCUGCGCUAUGGCGCGCACCUGCUCCAGGAUCCCCUCCUGGGCUGCUGCCGUCCGCUCUGCCGCGACAGCGAGGCGGGUUGUGGAGGCCUCGAUUCUGCGCAGCACCUGGAAUGAAUAAUCAUGGUGGAACUGUUCGCAUCAGUUGCUGAUUACUCGCAACCAGCUCACGGCUGCAAGCUGCUGUUGUGAAGAAUUGCAACGUGCACAACUAUUCCCUCUCUGCUGAAGAGCCACUGGCCUGAUGGCAUCCUUUGGCAGUGUCAAGCGUCGCGUACAAGCUAUGCCCUCUUCGUUUGGACAGACAAAGACCUGCUGGAACUACUCUUCCGUCAUCUACUCUAAUGCAUAUCUCACCAUCAAACAGCCCUUUUCAGGGCUAACCAACUUUUCGUCCGGCGGCUGAUCGUUGGCAAGACACGUUACCGAGCCCUCUAUACAACGCAUAUUUCUUGUUUACAUCCCAAGCUGAUUUGUUUUUCAGAUUCAUGAUUUACUUAUAACAAAGCAUAAAGAAUAUUUAUGUCCUUCAUGUAAAAUGACACCAAAGGGCCUACCAACCUGCAGCACCUCGUCGCCCUGUUCCAGGCUGCGGGCGCACUGCGACGACAUCGUCGUCAGGGUAUCCACCCGUCGCGGUCGCUGUCGACGUGGUGGCCGAACAGGUUGCUGCAACACUGAAAACAUACAGCAUUUUCUAGAGUUGCACUGCAUUUUACGGUACGAAUAAAAGUGGCUAUGGCCAUGUUAUGGCUUAUUGGGCUAGUUCAGUAAAAUACAAGAGCUCAUUUUAUUUAACAGCUUGAGGAUCAAUAACUUACCAGGUGCAGCGGCCACCCUUUCGGCAGGCGCCGCGCCGCGCGGUGGAUCCUCUGCCGCUGUAGAGUAAACACAUUAAUGUUUACGAACUGCACACACAAUUGGCGAUAAUUAAAACACUCAUUCCUCUGAUGCUUACGUGUCGCUGUGCUCACGCCCGCAGCCUCGUCUUGGACGACGACUUCCAUCGCGCAGGUGGGGACGUCAGCCUGCUGGAAAAUGUCAUAAGCGUGGCUAUUUGUUACAAUGCCUACGUUGCAAGUUUUCGUACUAAUUUGCGAAAAUAUUGUGCAAUUAUCGAGUGCUUAAUGAUCCCAUGUGUUACCGUCCUCGUGCACUUCCGCGAAGGCAUUUUAAUUCUGUGUUAAUCACUUAACCCCCCAUUUCCCGAAAACGCAGCCAACUGAGAUUCUAGUUGAUUAACCUACCUGCUUUUCCGUUCUCUCCUACGCUAUUUUCCUGUUCACCAACGGUGUCGCGUUCUGCUAAAGGUAGCACUUACAGAUAAUGGCAAACUCUAAACCGGCACCAUUCAGGAACCCAUGAUAUUACGGCGGCAGUGUGCUUACCUCUUGGUAGGGGAGGUCGGUCACACCGUGGAGGCGGACCGUCCCGGUGAGCUCCAGGACUCGGCCAUGAAAGCCAUGUAGCCGCCCCCUUCCUGUGCUUCUGAAAAUACACGCCAAUGUCGAAGGACAAAUCGCCCAGGCCAUUGGACGGUCACUCACAUUUGUUCUUGGGCAAGUGCGGCAGCGUUGCGGCGGGCCUCGAACACCUGCUUCCGCCACCACUCUUGCCACUGCUCGGUGGUUUUCACAACGGGGCCUUGAGUGUUGAGCUGGUCGGCUAGCUGCUGCCACAGCCGUCGGCGGUCGCCAGCAGUGAAGCGCGGCCCCAGCUCGCUGGAUCUUAUAGCCAGCUGGGGAUGCGCUUCCAUGAAGGCGACCACCGUCUCUCUCUGCGCCUCCGACACACGUGGCCCCUUCACCGGUGCUGUCACGUUUAGCGCCAUGGCUUCCAGUGCUCGACUGAACGACUGAACCAACCGCUUCAAAAUUCGCGCCGUGUGCUUGAAACGGGGUGGUGGCUAGCGCCAUCACUAAACGUUUCGCAAAACUGCGACACCACCUAGCGCCAUUUGAAGACAUUAACCGCAAUAUUUUGUUUCAGUCGUUUUCCAUUCCAAAUUGAAUCUUUGAAAAGCAACACCAACACAUUUUGCUACUCACUCAUAAUAGCAAAAUAUUUCUCAACAUGUUGCAAACGCUUCUCAAUAUAUUAUACGGUCCCCAAGCAGACGUCAAAAGCGUGACGCAGGCUUCCACUUCGCUCAUUGGCUGUUUGCUUCCUCUCGUUCUCGCGAACACUGCGAACCGCCUAUUUCGUGACGUUUAGAACGGAGGCGGUCCGUUCUAUUUUGAAACGCGUACAAGAUCGCGCCCAUGGUGUCUGUAAAAUAUUAUACUUCAGCUUAAACAACAACAGAAAGAAAUAACGGCUGCUUUAUUCAGCGAGCACCAUGUAAAUGCCGAGUGCCGCGACAAACACCCAUAACCGUGCCAGGCUAUAGCAGACGACGCUCGGACGCUUGGCGCGGAGGUCGAUGGCAGCGCUGCGGUGGCGGGAACGGCAGCGGGCUAAAUGGUGCGCAUAGGCUAGGAGUUUGGGUACUUAAAGAGGCACUAUAAACGUUAUUGCGGCGGCCCGGGCGGUCGAUGUGGUACCGAUCGUUUGAUCAUAUUUACGCGGUGCUUAGAGAACAUGUGCUCCUUUUUUGUGUGAAUUAACGAUCACUAAGCCCUGGGUCCUGUACAAUGCUAUUAGCUCGCUGUAUGUUUCUUGCGGUGCGCCGUUGUUGAUUAUCGUAGUGCGGUCCACACGCGCUUUCUUUGUGCCCGGCUCAUGAGAAGCUGUUGUACCGGUUGUACUCUCGCCGCUCCCGCAUCGGCUCACAGUGCACGGAAGAAUGUGUUGAUAGUUGUGCAAUCGCGUGCUGUAGUUCACCGCAAUUCAACACUACGCUGGACGGACUGUUGGUGCAGUCGAUGCGGCGUGAACGGACACGAAGGAGCGCUCGCCUCAGAAGGUAAGUCCGGCGCUUAGCGCAUUCUUAUGGUUCAUGUAGUGUACCUUGUCAUGCGCAGCAGAAGAUGAUUAGUACAGCUACAAAAACAGUAACAGUGAUUCCCUAAUGUUCGUUCGAUAUCAUAGUGCACAUUUAGCAAAACGUUUCACGAAAAUCACCCCGAGAUUGAUGUUGUUAAGAGCUUCAUCUAUUGUUUAUUUUCUUUUUGUUAUGAAGUAUGCUAGCGCCGGGGCAUCGCGUGGUCUGAACGGGCACAAAAAUUCAAGCAGGGAAUGUCACUGCUUCUGUACGUAAUUUCUCAGCAAGAAAUCGUAUAGACAAUUCUAGAAGUACGUUGAUGUGUUGUGCAAAUGUUUUUACAGCUAACGUCAACGCGCGACGGCAUCCAAAUGAUCUGGCUCGUGAGAAGAUUUUAGCUUGUAUGCAAACUUUGAUGCUUAUAGAUUGUCGCCAAGGCAACCUGUAUUUCUUGUGUUUAGUGUUCUGUUUGUUUUCGUGCCUUUGGCACGUUGAAUAACCGCCUGUGAUGUAAGAGUGAAAUAUUUAAUUUGUCUAAGCGGAUGCAGCUUCUUGUACGAGCGGAUGGCUGUACGAGAGCUUUCCAGAAUUUGAUGCGAUGUUGUUAAAUCACAAGUUUGCAGAUUCAGCAGUGAUUACAAUAAGCUGAACAUUUAUUGUUUAGGGAUGUCACAAUUUCCUGAGACGUAGGCAUCUCUGCACCACAAAGGAGACUGCGGCACUAUGCAGCCUGAACAGCAGGACAAAGCAUCUGAUCUGCCUGCUUUGACAAGAUGCGGCUGGGCCUGUAGAACGAGUGUAAGCAGACUACUGUGUUGCUGAUCAGUGCUGGUGCUGAUCUCUACGUCCGAGUUGGCCUCACAACGUCCAGGCACCACUGUGCUUUGCUUCAUUGACAAGGUGUGGCUGGGCCUGCAGAAAAGCUGUAAGCACACUGCAGUGUUGCUGAUCAGUGCUGAUCUCCACGUCCGAGUUGGUCCCACAACAUCCAGGCACCACGGUGCUUUCACAAGAGGCAUACGAGCACUUUGUGUCAAAAAUGCCGAGCACUGUGGAUACAGAGGCAAGGAGGCUGAAGAAACUGAACAAGCACCUGGCCACCAUGCUUUGGGAUGCAAAAUAAAGAUGGUUUGUGUUAA